GAUGAACGCUGGCGGCGUGCCUAAUACAUGCAAGUCGAGCGAACGGACGAGAAGCUUGCUUCUCUGAUGUUAGCGGCGGACGGGUGAGUAACACGUGGAUAACCUACCUAUAAGACUGGGAUAACUUCGGGAAACCGGAGCUAAUACCGAAUAAUAUUUUGAACCGCAUGGUUCAAAAGUGAAAGACGGUCUUGCUGUCACUUAUAGAUGGAUCCGCGCUGCAUUAGCUAGUUGGUAAGGUAACGGCUUACCAAGGCAACGAUGCAUAGCCGACCUGAGAGGGUGAUCGGCCACACUGGAACUGAGACACGGUCCAGACUCCUACGGGAGGCAGCAGUAGGGAAUCUUCCGCAAUGGGCGAAAGCCUGACGGAGCAACGCCGCGUGAGUGAUGAAGGUCUUCGGAUCGUAAAACUCUGUUAUUAGGGAAGAACAUAUGUGUAAGUAACUGUGCACAUCUUGACGGUACCUAAUCAGAAAGCCACGGCUAACUACGUGCCAGCAGCCGCGGUAAUACGUAGGUGGCAAGCGUUAUCCGGAAUUAUUGGGCGUAAAGCGCGCGUAGGCGGUUUUUUAAGUCUGAUGUGAAAGCCCACGGCUCAACCGUGGAGGGUCAUUGGAAACUGGAAAACUUGAGUGCAGAAGAGGAAAGUGGAAUUCCAUGUGUAGCGGUGAAAUGCGCAGAGAUAUGGAGGAACACCAGUGGCGAAGGCGACUUUCUGGUCUGUAACUGACGCUGAUGUGCGAAAGCGUGGGGAUCAAACAGGAUUAGAUACCCUGGUAGUCCACGCCGUAAACGAUGAGUGCUAAGUGUUAGGGGGUUUCCGCCCCUUAGUGCUGCAGCUAACGCAUUAAGCACUCCGCCUGGGGAGUACGACCGCAAGGUUGAAACUCAAAGGAAUUGACGGGGACCCGCACAAGCGGUGGAGCAUGUGGUUUAAUUCGAAGCAACGCGAAGAACCUUACCAAAUCUUGACAUCCUUUGACAACUCUAGAGAUAGAGCCUUCCCCUUCGGGGGACAAAGUGACAGGUGGUGCAUGGUUGUCGUCAGCUCGUGUCGUGAGAUGUUGGGUUAAGUCCCGCAACGAGCGCAACCCUUAAGCUUAGUUGCCAUCAUUAAGUUGGGCACUCUAAGUUGACUGCCGGUGACAAACCGGAGGAAGGUGGGGAUGACGUCAAAUCAUCAUGCCCCUUAUGAUUUGGGCUACACACGUGCUACAAUGGACAAUACAAAGGGCAGCGAAACCGCGAGGUCAAGCAAAUCCCAUAAAGUUGUUCUCAGUUCGGAUUGUAGUCUGCAACUCGACUACAUGAAGCUGGAAUCGCUAGUAAUCGUAGAUCAGCAUGCUACGGUGAAUACGUUCCCGGGUCU
rnacentral:rRNA from 1 species